rnacentral:ribozyme from 1 species
UUGUCAGAGUGAGCGAACGUGCAUCAGCACGGGCUUUAAGCCUUCGCUCGCUCUUAUUGACAAGGAAAUGAAUGAAAACACGUUUCUAAUCUUCACAGGAAUCCAUCCGUCUCUUAGUCUCUUUCAAGAGAA